rnacentral:rRNA from 1 species
UACAGAGGUCUCAAGCGUUGUUCGGAAUCAUUGGGCGUAAAGCGGGUGUAGGUGGCUUUGUAAGUCAGGAGUGAAAGCCCUAGGCUCAACCUAGGAAGUGCUUUUGAUACUGCGAAGCUUGAAUGUGGGAGAGGAUCGUGGAAUUCCAGGUGUAGUGGUGAAAUACGUAGAUAUCUGGAGGAACACCGAUGGCGAAGGCAGUGUUCUGGGCCAGUACUGACGCUGAGGAGCGAAAGCGUGGGUAGCAAACAGG